rnacentral:rRNA from 1 species
GCCUCCCUCCCUCCCUCCCCUGCCAACCCCAAAUCUCCCCUCGCCCGUCGCAGCUCUCGAAUCCCCCCCGAGCAUCGACCAUGUCGGCCUACUGCGGAAAGUACAAGGAUGAGCUCAUCAAGAACGCUGCCUACAUCGGCACCCCUGGCAAGGGUAUCCUCGCUGCUGAUGAGUCCACCGGCACCAUCGGCAAGCGCUUUGCCAGCAUCAAUGUUGAGAACGUUGAGGACAACCGUCGUGCCCUCCGUGAGCUCCUCUUCUGCACCCCUGGUGCCCUCCAGUACCUCAGCGGCGUGAUCCUGUUUGAGGAGACCCUGUACCAGAGCACCAAGGGUGGCAAGCCCUUCGUCGACAUCCUCAAGGCGGGCAAUGUCCUCCCUGGCAUCAAGGUGGACAAGGGUACCAUUGAGCUUGCUGGAACCAACGGUGAGACCACCACCCAGGGCUUUGAUGACCUUGGCAAGCGCUGCGCCAAGUACUAUGAGGCUGGUGCCCGCUUCGCCAAGUGGCGUGCAGUCCUCAAGAUCGGCGCCACUGAGCCAUCGCAGCUCUCCAUCGACCAGAACGCUCAGGGUCUGGCUCGCUAUGCCAUCAUCUGCCAGGAGAAUGGUCUGGUGCCCAUUGUGGAGCCUGAGAUCCUUGUUGAUGGACCUCAUGACAUUGACCGCUGUGCUUACGUCACCGAGAUCGUCCUUGCUGCCUGCUACAAGGCCCUCAACGACCAGCAUGUCCUCCUCGAGGGCACUCUCCUGAAGCCCAACAUGGUCACCCCUGGUUCUGACUCCAAGAAGGUGGCCCCUGAGGUGAUUGCUGAGUACACCGUCCGCACCCUCCAGAGGACCGUCCCUGCUGCCGUCCCCGCCAUUGUCUUCCUCUCUGGUGGACAGAGCGAGGAGGAGGCGACCCUGAACCUGAACGCCAUGAACAAGCUCCAGACCAAGAAGCCCUGGAACCUGUCCUUCUCCUUCGGGCGUGCCCUCCAGCAGAGCACCCUCAAGGCCUGGUCCGGCAAGACGGAGAACGAGGAGAAGGCCAGGGCGGCGUUCCUGGUGAGGUGCAAGGCCAACUCCGAGGCCACCCUCGGCACCUACAAGGGCGACGCCACCCUCGCUGAGGGCGCCUCCGAGAGCCUCCACGUCAAGGACUACAAGUACUGAUUGAUCUGCCUUCGGUGCUGUGGCCCGUUUGGGCGUCCCGCUUACCAGUAUCAUUGUCAUUGUUUGGUUUCCUGAGUCCUGAUAUAUCCUCGGAUAUCGAACAUCGUUUUUAAUAAUAUGGAACUUGUGUUUUCAUAAUACCGUAGUAGUUUCUUUUUGGAGUUGAAGUACCCUGAAAAUCGGGUGCUGCGUAUCGUAAAUUGGAGCAGGUUUUUGUUCCAUGGUCCUGUAAUUUACCUGCUCAUACAAUGUUAAAACCUGUCAUAUGCUGAGUACACAUGUGUUCCGUCACUUUUUUCUUGCUUGGC